ensembl:lncRNA
CGAGCGCGCUUUCGCGUUGGGACCAGUAUGUGGAAGCGUGAGAACCAGGAAGUGGAAGUGUUUAGGAAGAGCAACACGCAACAUACGUGGGAGGGUUAGGAGCCAGAGGGGACAGACUGAAAGACUCAAAGGAAGAAAGAAAGAGAAAAAGAAGAAAAAAAGAGAAAAAAAAGGUUUUCUGGGAGGAGGAGGAGGAGGAGGAGGAGGAGGAGAUGAGGAGGAGGAAGAUGAGGGUGAAGUAGCGGAGGAUGAAGAGGACAACAGGGCAGAGAAGAGCCAUUGGGGUUAACCAUCUUGAUCCUGAGGGCAAGAGCCAGAGCACCUCAUAGGUUCAAAGCUUGUCAAUCAAGUCAGGCAUGGUGUGUGAUUGGUCAACCCACCUGCCCGGGAUUGCUUUCUUUUUUUUUUUCAGAACUUGCAGCUUGACCGACCCACUCCGUCGGAUGAAGUGCAAGGUGGAGGGCGAGAAGAAGAAGAAGAACAAAAAGAAGAAGAACAACAAGAAAAAAAAGGUUUUCUGGGAGGAGGAGGAGAAGAUGAGGAGGAGGAGGAAGACGAGGGUGAAGUAGCGAAGGAUGAAGAGGACAACAGGGCAGAGAAGAGCCCUUAGGGCUAAGAGAUCCAGCUGGCCUAGAAAGACAGAGGCCCGCCUGAGGCACUUUGCCUCCUGUCAGCCUUGGGAAGAACAGGAAGAAAAUAUCAAACCUCCGAAUGUUGCGGUGGUCCAUUCAAAUCAACGGAACGUUUUGAGGAGCCGUACAAUAUAAUGCAUUCGUUUCAGUGGCGAGCUCUCUGUAACUCAUUGCACGGUGUUGCUGAACCACCCUCUUCAACACGGCUGAGGCUCAGGGACGUUCAAGAGAGCAGAAUCUACAACACCGGAAAGCAAGUCUGCCUGAAGCCUGUGAAAAUGUUAAUUGGUUGUGCAAGUGUGUUUUUUAAACGUAGAGCUAUCAGAAGGCUGAAUUGCUCCAAUUUAUAAUUAUGCUAUUAUUAUGUGAAACGAGUCUAUAUUUAUGAAUUAUGGUAGUAUUAUGUGCAAUGGGUCUAUAUUUAUUAAUUAUGUUAUUAUUAUGUGCAAUGAGUCAAUAAUUCC